rnacentral:rRNA from 1 species
CAAUACGGAGUGGCAGACGGGUGCGUAACACGUGGGAACAUACCCUUUGGUUCGGAAUAACUCAGGGAAACUUGAGCUAAUACCGGAUAAGCCCUUACGGGGAAAGAUUUAUCGCCAAAGGAUUGGCCCGCGUCUGAUUAGCUAGUUGGUGAGGUAACGGCUCACCAAGGCGACGAUCAGUAGCUGGUCUGAGAGGAUGAUCAGCCACACUGGGACUGAGACACGGCCCAG